ACUCUCUCAGGGUCGCACCUGGAGAGUUUCCAGCACUCUACCAGUCCUGACUAUGGGAGGGAGAGUCAAGCAGAGCCCUACCCCUUCCAUUCCUAUUUUGGGCAGUGGCCAGUGAAUGGAAGGCAAUCUGCUACAAGU
rnacentral:snoRNA from 1 species